rnacentral:rRNA from 1 species
AUUGAACGCUGGCGGCAUGCCUUACACAUGCAAGUCGAACGGCAGCACGGGAGCAAUCCUGGUGGCGAGUGGCGAACGGGUGAGUAAUAUAUCGGAACGUGCCCAGUCGUGGGGGAUAACGUAGCGAAAGCUACGCUAAUACCGCAUACGAUCUAUGGAUGAAAGCGGGGGAUCGCAAGACCUCGCGCGAUUGGAGCGGCCGAUAUCAGAUUAGGUAGUUGGUGAGGUAAAGGCUCACCAAGCCGACGAUCUGUAGCUGGUCUGAGAGGACGACCAGCCACACUGGGACUGAGACACGGCCCAGACUCCUACGGGAGGCAGCAGUGGGGAAUUUUGGACAAUGGGCGCAAGCCUAAUCCAGCAAUGCCGCGUGCAGGAUGAAGGCCUGGUGUACGUAGUACGUUUGUUUACGGUAACGGUAAACC